rnacentral:rRNA from 1 species
GUCCUUUAGAUAUUAAUUUAAGGUCUAACCUGCCCACUGAAAUAUUUUAAAUGGCCGCAGUAAUUUGACUGUGCAAAGGUAGCAUAAUCAUUAGUUUUUUAAUUAAAAGCUUGUAUGAAAGGUUGGACGAAGUAAAAUCUGUCUCUAAUUAAAUUAAUUUAGAAUUUAACUUUUAAGUUAAAAGGCUUAAAUUUAACUAAAAGACGAGAAGACCCUAUAGAUCUUUAUAUUUUUAUUAUUAAAUUUAAUUAAGAAUUUUUAAAAUUUUAUUAAUUUAAAUAUUUUAUUGGGGUAAUAUAAAGAUUAAAAUAAUUCUUUUUUUUUAUUAACAUUAAUUUAUGAUUUUUAUGAUCCAAUUAUAUUGAUUAUAAGAUUAAGUUACCUUAGGGAUAACAGCGUAAUUUUUUUAGAGAGUUCUUAUCGAUAAAAAAGUUUGCGACCUCGAUGUUGGAUUAAAGAUUAUUUUAGGUGCAGAAGUUUAAAAAUUUUGGUCUGUUCGACCAUUAAAUCUUUACAUGAUCUGAGUUCAGACCGGUGUAAGCCAGGUCGGUUUCUAUCUUUAGUAAAUUAAAAUAUUUCAGUACGAAAGGACCAAUUAUUUAAUAUAAAUAUUUAUAUUUUGAUUAUUAUUAA